rnacentral:rRNA from 1 species
UACGAAGGGGGCUAGCGUUGUUCGGAGUUACUGGGCGUAAAGAGUGUGUAGGCGGUGCUCUAAGUCUGUUGUGAAAUCUCCCGGCUUAACUGGGAGGGUGCGGCGGAAACUGGAGUGCUCGAGGGUGGGAGAGGUAAGCGGAAUUCCUGGUGUAGCGGUGAAAUGCGUAGAUAUCAGGAGGAACACCUGUGGUGUAGACAGCUUACUGGACCACUUCUGACGCUGAGACACGAAAGCGUGGGUAGCAAACAGG